GGUCCUCCACUCUACACUUCCACAAAUCACUAUAAUUUGCACCACACAGUAGACUAUCUGCACGAGGUAUCCUGUGGCAACUUCUGAAAUGGCCUAUAAUAUUAUAAAUCAUUGUGCUAUUUUGGCAUAAAAUGUUACUUAGGUAAAUAACCACUGUUGGGCAUUUGUUCUCUAGAGAGCUAUUAGUCACAUUUCAUUGUUCAGAACGAAUGCCUGUUACCAGUCAUAUUUUUCCGGGUUUUUCGUUGUUGGUAUUUGAAGACUGCUAUUGUUUAAAACUACAUUUUACUGCUUACUGGACACGUCUUUGAACAAAAAACAUGCACACAUGUUCAUACAUUAGUAUCUGUAGGUUAUGUGAAAGACAGCUGACGUGCAUUAAUAUUUUUAUUAAUCAUUAUUUUGUUACAUGGUAUCUGCAACAGACAUAGAACAGAUUUAUAGGCAAUGACAAAUGGCUUACUUGAAGAAAAUCUCUGAUUUUAUUAGGUCAAAUACAGGAAAGGAGCAACUAUCCAGCAAAAGCUGGCUGAAACACAGCCUUGGAUCACAUCAAUUCUGAUGCUUUAUCUAUUUUCUGGGAUAAAUCAAAUUGUCUUUCAAAAUUGGGCAUGAUUCCCUUUUUGAUGGGUUGGAACCAAAAAAAAAUCCCAGCUGUUUUUCAGAGCUUGAACUGCUGCUCCCUCUUUUAACUACAUCAGUCAGGGUUUGAUCAGAGAAGCAAAACCACUAAGAGAUAUGUGGAAUAAAGGAUUUAUUAGAGCGAUGUGAGCUUUCACAGUGACACAGUACAAAUGCACCUCAUCAACUCAUUGCUCAUCUUUUAACUUAUCUGAUUCCCAUUUUUCCUUGAAAUAGUCUCCUAAAAAUAUUAAAAGAAAGUACCAAAUCACCAUGCAAGAUAACACUCAAGAGAAAAGAAUAAUAAUAUGGUUCAAAAUGGCAUCUGGAUACCAACUCCAGAAUAGCUCUUCCAAUCUUUUAGUAAAACAGUCAUAAUAAUUCAAUAAAAGAUAAAAUGUAAAAGGUCAAAAAUUAAAAGUGAUGGGUGACAUAAUAAAAUCUGAGAAACUCUAUGAAAUUUUAAAGCAUAUGGAUUAGGAUGGCUGAUGCUCUACGUCUUAUGGGUUGAACUGUGUCCCCCCAAAAUGACAUGUUUAAGUCUGUUAAGAUAACCAAAGAGAACAGUUCAGUUGAUCUGCAUUUCAUUGAUCUAAGGAAAUUUUAUUUCACACUCCAUGAAGCAGGCAGUCUCCAUUCUCAAGAGUCCAGAGAACUGCAAGGCAAGGAACAGAGCUGUAAGUUUCUGUAGAAGAAAGCCAUUAGAGAAAGAGUAUUUAGCUUAGUUGAUUGGCUGGGGUUGCAUAUCUGACC
rnacentral:lncRNA from 1 species